rnacentral:misc_RNA from 1 species
GAACCUGCGGAGGAUCAUUACCACACCGAUCCAAGAUCAGUCUUCAUUGUGAAUCUGAUUGCACCGGUCUAGUAUUUUUACUAAACUGCUGCCGUCAAACUUAAACUUGCAACGCGUUGAUUAAUUCCGCGUUGCUGCCAUUCUUUACGAUUGGUAACUGGAAAGAACCAAAUGACCUAAAGUAGAAAUGAUGCAGUGUUUCGGAGCGCUGAGCGGGCGUCUUAAGUAUUAGAUGCAUACCAAACCGACUCUAUUGCUGGCACUGCACAUUACACCCUAAUACAUUACAACUUUCAGCGGUGGAUGUCUAGGUUCCCACAACGAUGAAGAACGCAGCGAAAUGCGAUACGUAAUGCGAAUUGCAAGACCUCGUGAAUCAUCAAGAUUUUGAACGCACAUUGCGCUUUCGGGUAUUCCCGGUAGCAUGCUUGUCUGAGUGUCUGUGGAUCCCACUCAGCGCUGGCUUCGCGCUGGCUGCUGGUCUUUUGGCCGUGACUGAACUUGUUUAGUCUCGGCUUAAGUUUUACGUCAAGUACGUGCAUAGAUCUAGAAAGCUCUGCCCGUCUAGUUAAAAACACGGCGCUGACACUCUUGUCUAUCUCUGGUAGGUUUAUUCAACUGGAGUUUGCUAGGAGUCGUCUGUAGCUGUUUUGAAACUAAUGGAAUGAGCGGUUUUAGAUCUAACUAGCUGGAAACAGUUAGUUAUACAAUCCGGAUCUCAGAUCAAGCAAGAGG